rnacentral:rRNA from 1 species
UACGGGGGGGGCAAGCGUUGUUCGGAAUUACUGGGCGUAAAGGGUUUGUAGGUGGCCCUCUAAGUCACACGUGAAAUCCCUCAGCUUAACUGGGGAACUGCGUGUGAGACUGGAAGGCUCGAGGGCAGGAGAGGAACGCGGAAUUCCAGGUGUAGCGGUGAAAUGCGUAGAUAUCUGGAGGAACACCGAUGGCGAAGGCGGCGUUCUGGACUGUAUCUGACACUGAAGAACGAAAGCCAGGGGAGCAAACGGG